rnacentral:rRNA from 1 species
CCCAGGCGCGAAAACUUUACAAUGCCGGCAACGGCGAUAAGGGAACCUCGAGUGCCAGGUUACAAAUCUGGCUGUCGUGAUGCCUAAAAAGCAUUGCAUAGCAAGGGCCGGGCAAGACCGGUGCCAGCCGCCGCGGUAACACCGGCGGCUCGAGUGGUAACCGUUAUUAUUGGGUCUAAAGGGUCUGUAGCCGGCCGGGUAAGUCUCUUGAGAAAUCUGGCAGCUUAACUGUCAGGCUUUCAGGAGAUACUGCCUGGCUCGAGGCCGGGAGAGGUGAGAGGUACUUCAGGGGUAGGGGUGAAAUCUUGUAAUCCUUGAAGGACCACCAGUGGCGAAGGCGUCUCACCAGAACGGACCUGACGGCAAGGGACGAAAGCUAGGGGCACGAACCGGAUUAGAUACCCGGGUAGUCCUAGCCGUAAACGAUACUCGCUAGGUGUCGGCCACGGUGCGACCGUGGUCGGUGCCGUAGGGAAGCCGUGAAGCGAGCCACCUGGGAAGUACGGCCGCAAGGCUGAAACUUAAAGGAAUUGGCGGGGGAGCAC